GUGGGGAAUUUUGGACAAUGGGCGAAAGCCUGAUCCAGCCAUGCCGCGUGCAGGAUGAAGGCCUUCGGGUUGUAAACUGCUUUUGUACGGAACGAAAAGCCUCUUUCUAAUAAAGAGAGGUCAUGACGGUACCGUAAGAAUAAGCACCGGCUAACUACGUGCCAGCAGCCGCGGUAAUACGUAGGGUGCGAGCGUUAAUCGGAAUUACUGGGCGUAAAGCGUGCGCAGGCGGUGAUGUAAGACAGAUGUGAAAUCCCCGGGCUCAACCUGGGAACUGCAUUUGUGACUGCAUCGCUGGAGUGCGGCAGAGGGGGAUGGAAUUCCGCGUGUAGCAGUGAAAUGCGUAGAUAUGCGGAGGAACACCGAUGGCGAAGGCAAUCCCCUGGGCCUGCACUGACGCUCAUGCACGAAAGCGUGGGGAGCAAACAGGAUUAGAAACCCUAGUAGUCC
rnacentral:rRNA from 1 species